AAAGGUGAAGCUGAAGAAGGGGAAGCUGAAGCUGAAGAAGCAGGAAAGGAUGCACCUCAAGCUAACAUGACUUCCACAGCCGAACCCAAAGGUGGAGUGAAUGCCACGCAGAUAUAACCAAAAAACCCUAAGGUUGCUUGAAGUCCUGGUCAAACCAAGCCCAGUAACAUCAUUCCAUCUGGAAGAAAAGUUUGGUCUCUUUCUACCAAUCUCUCUUUUCCUAUACAGUACAUGUCCCAUUUCCCUAAACAUUUUACAACUGUUUAGUGUUUUCAAAGCUAGGUGCUCCAAGCUAAAAUAAAAUCAAAUGUAUGUUUAGCCCCAGAUCAUGCCCUACAAACCAGUUAGACAUUAAGUCAGUAAUGAAGUAAACCUUGAUAGAAUUAAACAGUAGUGAAAGCACAAAACAAAAGACGAAACAAUCAUUACAUAUGGAGUCCCACAAGGCUUAAUUCUGGGUCCUUUAGCUUUGAUUUUUUUUAUUUUAUUUUAUUUUUAUUCAUUUAGGAUUUUUAAUGUAAAAUUGGUUUACCAGUCCUAAAAUGUGGUGAAGCAGCGGAACUACCAGCAGCAAACCAAAGGCAAAGAUAUGAUUAAAGACAUGAAAUGCUUAUCAAAUUCUAUGUUUCAUUGUUAUUGUAAGACUGAAUACUAUUUUACAACCUAAUUUACAUGCAUAUAUGGAAAACAAGGAAACCCCGAUGUUUAACUGACAAUAGCACAAAGGGAAGUUAUAAAACCUUGAAAUUGAGACAUUUUAUGGGAAAAUUAUAUAUACAGAAAAUGAUUCAUAUAUUACAUUAUAUACAGAACACCAUAUUGAACUGUGGGGCUAGAACAGUGACACUGAAGAAAGUGUUUCAGUGUCAAUAUUUCCUUUUUAAUAAUGGCAAAUUUUAUUUAAAUGUAACUGUUUUUCACCCCACAGUCUUCCUGCUAUAUUCAUUUCUGCCUGACUAUAAUGAAUGUAUAAAAAGUAGAACACCUGAAGAAUUAAACUAUCAGCAAAUUCAGUUUUAUUCCUCCAUCCAAUACCCCUUACCCCUGAAGACCCAGGGGUUUCUUCUUUCAAUCUGAUUAAUGAGCUUGAAAUUGACAUUUUGGCAACAGCCAAGAAGAACACUCAUUUGUAAAAUUACCAGCAAAUGUAAAUUUGCUGAUUAGUGGAUAAAUUGCCAAAAUUUGUAACCCCAUUUAUUGGGUCACUGUGUGUAAAUUUUAAGCCCUGCUGGUUUCUUUUGUCUCAAUAAUUAGAAAUACGAUUCAAGUUUAUGAAUGAAGAAUAAA